GGCGAGUUUGAUCAUGGCUCAGGACGAACGCUGGCGGCGCGCUUAACACAUGCAAGUCGAGCGAGAACCGGAGCUUCGGCUCCGGGGACAGCGGCGAACGGGUGAGUAACACGUGGGCAACCCACCCUUGGUACUGGGAUAGCCCGGGGAAACCCGGAUUAAUACCGGAUGGCCCAGCAGCUCUUCGGGGCGGCUGGAAAAGGGAGCUUCGGCCUCCGACCAAGGACGGGCCCGCGGCGGAUUAGCUUGUUGGUGGGGUAACGGCCCACCAAGGCGACGAUCCGUAGCUGGUCUGAGAGGACGAUCAGCCACACUGGGACUGAGACACGGCCCAGACUCCUACGGGAGGCAGCAGUGGGGAAUAUUGCACAAUGGGCGCAAGCCUGAUGCAGCAACGCCGCGUGAGGGAAGAAGGCCUUCGGGUUGUAAACCUCUUUCAGGAGGGACGAAGCCACUCGGGUUAAUAGCCCAGAGGGUGACGGUACCUCCAGAAGAAGCCCCGGCUAACUACGUGCCAGCAGCCGCGGUAAUAAGUUCCCUGUGUG
rnacentral:rRNA from 1 species